CCUACGGGAGGCAGCAGUGGGGAAUUUUGGACAAUGGGCGCAAGCCUGAUCCAGCAAUGCCGCGUGCAGGAUGAAGGCCUUCGGGUUGUAAACUGCUUUUGUACGGAGCGAAAAGGCACUCACUAAUACUGGGUGUUAAUGACGGUACCGUAAGAAUAAGCACCGGCUAACUACGUGCCAGCAGCCGCGGUAAUACGUAGGGUGCGAGCGUUAAUCGGAAUUACUGGGCGUAAAGCGUGCGCAGGCGGUUUUGUAAGACAGAUGUGAAAACCCCGGGCUCAACCUGGGAACUGCAUUUGUGACUGCAAGACUGGAGUACGGCAGAGGGGGAUGGAAUUCCGCGUGUAGCAGUGAAAUGCGUAGAUAUGCGGAGGAACACCGAUGGCGAAGGCAAUCCCCUGGGCCUGUACUGACGCUCAUGCACGAAAGCGUGGGGAGCAAACAGGAUUAGAUACCCUAGUAGUC
rnacentral:rRNA from 1 species